rnacentral:ncRNA from 2 species
AACUUAUCAAGAGAGGUGGAGGGACUGGCCCUAUGAAGCCCGGCAACCAAUGCUAUUUUUAAUAGUAUAGUGGUGCUAAUUCCUGCAGCAUAAGCUGGAAGAUGAGAG